rnacentral:lncRNA from 1 species
UCCCUGCUUCUUUUUCUUUUUUCUAAGCUUACCCCCGAGUGACUCUCCAUGGGAGGCCUUCACCUCCUCAAAAUUUGCAUAGUUCUUGGUUUGAGCCAACAUCUUGGUGAAGUCUUUUGGAUAUCUCUUAUCUAGGGAGAAGAGGAAAUAAUACUUGUAAAGUCCACCUUUCAAGGCAGACAUUGUGACCAAGUAAUCCAAGUCACAAACUUUCAGAGUGCCUAUUGAAGCAGCUC